AUGUUUGGCUUCCCUAUCUCAAGCUUUCCGUGCACAUACCUAGGCCUGCCGCUCUCCUUGCACAAGAUUAAGCAUGGCCUACUCCUGCCUAUCAUUCAUCGAGUGGACAAGAGGUUAUCAGGUUGGCUUGCUACCUUUCUGUCUUUUGGUGGCCGCUUGACUCUAGUUAAUUCAGUCCUUGCUAGCAUCCCAAUUUAUUAUAUGCCAUGCUUCCUUUGGCCUAAGGAAUCACUUAGGAUGUUGGAAAAGUUCCUGAGGGCUUUCUUCUGGCAAGGCAGGAGCACAGUCAAGGGAGGCCAAUGCCUCGUUGCCUGGCAUUUCGUCACUCUCCCAAGAUCUGUAGGUGGUUUGGGCAUCAGGGACCUUCCUGCUCAUAACCAAGCUUUGCUCACCAAGUUUGCUGCUAGAGUUUCACAGACCUCGGAAAUCCCUUGCUUUCAAUGGUUUGCUCAGCAGUAA
rnacentral:rRNA from 1 species